rnacentral:rRNA from 1 species
UGAACGCUGGCGGCGUGCCUAAUACAUGCAAGUCGAGCGAACAGACGAGGAGCUUGCUCCUCUGACGUUAGCGGCGGACGGGUGAGUAACACGUGGAUAACCUACCUAUAAGACUGGGAUAACUUCGGGAAACCGGAGCUAAUACCGGAUAAUAUAUUGAACCGCAUGGUUCAAUAGUGAAAGACGGUUUUGCUGUCACUUAUAGAUGGAUCCGCGCCGCAUUAGCUAGUUGGUAAGGUAACGGCUUACCAAGGCAACGAUGCGUAGCCGACCUGAGAGGGUGAUCGGCCACACUGGAACUGAGACACGGUCCAGACUCCUACGGGAGGCAGCAGUAGGGAAUCUUCCGCAAUGGGCGAAAGCCUGACGGAGCAACGCCGCGUGAGUGAUGAAGGUCUUCGGAUCGUAAAACUCUGUUAUUAGGGAAGAACAAAUGUGUAAGUAACUAUGCACGUCUUGACGGUACCUAAUCAGAAAGCCACGGCUAACUACGUGCCAGCAGCCGCGGUAAUACGUAGGUGGCAAGCGUUAUCCGGAAUUAUUGGGCGUAAAGCGCGCGUAGGCGGUUUUUUAAGUCUGAUGUGAAAGCCCACGGCUCAACCGUGGAGGGUCAUUGGAAACUGGAAAACUUGAGUGCAGAAGAGGAAAGUGGAAUUCCAUGUGUAGCGGUGAAAUGCGCAGAGAUAUGGAGGAACACCAGUGGCGAAGGCGACUUUCUGGUCUGUAACUGACGCUGAUGUGCGAAAGCGUGGGGAUCAAACAGGAUUAGAUACCCUGGUAGUCCACGCCGUAAACGAUGAGUGCUAAGUGUUAGGGGGUUUCCGCCCCUUAGUGCUGCAGCUAACGCAUUAAGCACUCCGCCUGGGGAGUACGACCGCAAGGUUGAAACUCAAAGGAAUUGACGGGGACCCGCACAAGCGGUGG